AUCUACUCCAUCCACCCUCUCACCAUGCAACAGGCACGAAAGCGUCGCAUUCAAGCCUGUUACCCCUGUUACACGCGAAAGCAAAAAUGUAACCGCCAGUAUCCAUGUAACCACUGUAGCCGCCGCCGGCGGGCAGAAGGGUGCAUCUAUAGUGGUGGGACAGCACCUGGACGGGAGGCUCAAGUCCAGAAACUGCCCAAGGGUGCAAGCCACUCGAAGAAUAUGCCAACACGACAUGAGCAUGAGCAU
rnacentral:sRNA from 2 species